rnacentral:rRNA from 1 species
CGGGAAAUAUUUCAUUGAGACUUCGGUGGAUUUGAUCUAUUUCUAGUGGCGGACGGGUGAGUAACGCGUGGGUAACCUGCCUUAUACAGGGGGAUAACAGUCAGAAAUGGCUGCUAAUACCGCAUAAGCGCACAGAGCUGCAUGGCUCAGUGUGAAAAACUCCGGUGGUAUAAGAUGGACCCGCGUUGGAUUAGCUUGUUGGUGGGGUAACGGCCCACCAAGGCGACGAUCCAUAGCCGGCCUGAGAGGGUGAACGGCCACAUUGGGACUGAGACACGGCCCAGACUCCUACGGGAGGCAGCAGUGGGGAAUAUUGCACAAUGGGGGAAACCCUGAUGCAGCGACGCCGCGUGAAGGAAGAAGUAUCUCGGUAUGUAAACUUCUAUCAGCAGGGAAGAUAGUGACGGUACCUGACUAAGAAGCCCCGGCUAACUACGUGCCAGCAGCCGCGGUAAUACGUAGGGGGCAAGCGUUAUCCGGAUUUACUGGGUGUAAAGGGAGCGUAGACGGUGUGGCAAGUCUGAUGUGAAAGGCAUGGGCUCAACCUGUGGACUGCAUUGGAAACUGUCAUACUUGAGUGCCGGAGGGGUAAGCGGAAUUCCUAGUGUAGCGGUGAAAUGCGUAGAUAUUAGGAGGAACACCAGUGGCGAAG